UGGGGGAUAUUGCACAAUGGGGGAAACCCUGAUGCAGCGACGCCGCGUGGAGGAAGAAGGUUUUCGGAUUGUAAACUCCUGUCGUUAGGGACGAUAAUGACGGUACCUAACAAGAAAGCACCGGCUAACUACGUGCCAGCAGCCGCGGUAAAACGUAGGGUGCAAGCGUUGUCCGGAAUUACUGGGUGUAAAGGGAGCGCAGGCGGGCGAUCAAGUUGGAAGUGAAAUCCAUGGGCUCAACCCAUGAACUGCUUUCAAAACUGAUUGUCUUGAGUAGUGCAGAGGUAGGCGGAAUUCCCGGUGUAGCGGUGGAAUGCGUAGAUAUCGGGAGGAACACCAGUGGCGAAGGCGGCCUACUGGGCACCAACUGACGCUGAGGCUCGAAAGUGUGGGUAGCAAACAGGAUUAGAUACCCUGGUAGUCCACACCGUAAACGAUGAUUACUAGGUGUUGGAGGAUUGACCCCUUCAGUGCCGCAGUUAACACAAUAAGUAAUCCACCUGGGGAGUACGACCGCAAGGUUGAAACUCAAAGGAAUUGACGGGGGCCCGCACAAGCAGUGGAGUAUGUGGUUUAAUUCGACGCAACGCGAAGAACCUUACCAAGUCUUGACAUCCUGCGACGAUGCUAGAAAUAGUAUUUUCCUUCGGGACGCAGAGACAGGUGGUGCAUGGUUGUCGUCAGCUCGUGUCGUGAGAUGUUGGGUUAAGUCCCGCAACGAGCGCAACCCUUAUGGUCAGUUACUACGCAAGAGGACUCUGGCCAGACUGCCGUUGACAAAACGGAGGAAGGUGGGGAUGACGUCAAAUCAUCAUGCCCUUUAUGACUUGGGCUACACACGUACUACAAUGGCGUUAAACAAAGAGAAGCAAGACCGCGAGGUGGAGCAAAACUCAGAAACAACGUCCCAGUUCGGACUGCAGGCUGCAACUCGCCUGCACGAAGUCGGAAUUGCUAGUAAUCGCAGAUCAGCAUGCUGCGGUGAAUACGUUCCC
rnacentral:rRNA from 1 species